rnacentral:tRNA from 1 species
UGGGGUGUGGCCCAGUUGGUAGAGCGCUUGCCUAGCAAAUACAUGUGAGACACUGGGUUUGAUCCUCAGCACCACAU